rnacentral:miRNA from 1 species
UGCAAGUUUAUUCUGUAGUGGUCU